GUGUCAGCCGCCGCGGUAAUACAGAGGUCUCAAGCGUUGUUCGGAUUCAUUGGGCGUAAAGGGUGCGUAGGUGGCGGGGCCAGUCAGGUGUGAAAUCCCGGGGCUUAACCCUGGAACUGCAUUUGAUACUGCCUUGCUGGAGAACUGGAGAGGAGACUGGAAUUUACGGUGUAGCAGUGAAAUGCGUAGAGAUCGUAAGGAAGACCAGUGGCGAAGGCGAGUCUCUGGACAGUUACUGACACUGAGGCACGAAGGCCAGGGGAGCAAACGGGAUUAGAAACCCCCGUAGUCC
rnacentral:rRNA from 1 species